rnacentral:lncRNA from 1 species
CUAAAUGAGUUUUUUUAUCAAGUUAAGCAUUAUUAAUUGUUAAACCAUUCGGAACCAGUAUGUGACAAGACUAGGCGCCAAGAACAUCACAUAAUUAAUCUACAUUAUUGAUUUCCAUUUAUGAAACUUGCAAGAAAUUGAGCAACAUGUUGAGAAGUACAAAGAUUUAACAUCAUUGUUCAUUUGGAUUAAUACCCAUCCUGGUAAAAACCUCUUGACAAAGAUCUAAGCUGUUGUCACAAAGGAGAUUAUAAACUCCUUCACAACCUCACAAAGGACUUUAGUUUUGGGAAACUCGAACAUGUCAAUUCCAUGAUAACCUCCUUCAACAAAAUUAGCCACCACGUGAACACCCUCGCCUUCUAACAUUUUGGCAAUCUCAAAUUGGCGAUCAAACAAUGCAUCAUUUUCAUAUCCUGCCAUUAAAACCUUCCAUCCUAAAGCUUUAAUCUGAUCGAAUUGUCCAGGCUUGAUGCUCAAAACUGGAUUAGAAAAUUCAUGAUCUCGGUCAGCACCUAAGGGCAAUGAAAGUUCCCACAAGACAUCAGUAGCACAGGGCGGUAUAAACGUGUCAUUCAGAGCCCUCAACUCCGAUUCUGUCCUCUUCUUGCCACCAAAAAAUGCUUGGUGCAAAAUCAACCCUUUAAUAUUCAAAGGCUUUAGAUCAUCAACACAUGAAGAUGCACUCAAACCAACAUGAUAGGCAAUGUUUCCCCCAGAACUACUGCCCAUGAGGAAACUGUUUGAUAAAUCUGCAUACUUUUCCAACCAUUCGUCUUGUGAAUUCUUGAUCCAGUGCAAAGCUUCCAAGCAAUCUUCGUAGGCUGCCGGCAGCCUGUGCUCUGGGGCAAGACGAUGCUCGAUUGAUACGAUAACAAACGGGACCUCAGUAGCUAAAGCUCUAUGAAAAUCAUCAAAACCGGUCGUGGCCACGCUGCAAAUCACGAAUCCUCCACUAUGAAAGUAAAUCAGGAGCGGAAGUUUCCUGCCCGGGAAGGAUUCAAGUGCUUCUUUCGGUAGGAAUAUACGGGCACCAGUGUUCUUGGAUUGGUUAAUGGGGACAUCUUUGACAAGAAGGAUAGGGCUGCCAUCAUAGGAGGAGACGGGUGUUUUUGGAUGUUCAAAUUGACGCGUGACUGAACCGUCGGGGUUCCGGACUAAGCCCAUAUGGCCAUAGGGAUCAACAUGAGGAUCAGCGAAUGAAAUUGCUGCAAUUGGAUCAGCCAUAAGGGAUCAGAAUUUUGACUGCCUUUUGGUGUAAGCUUUGGAGCUAGCGUUUAUGAGUUUGGCGUUAUUUGAAGACUUGGAAGUGCACAGAAAGAAAGGUUAAAGGGUCAUUUCGUUAGUUCCUUGAAAUUCAUACACUGCCACACGUUGUUUAUCAAUAUAAUUUAGUACGUCAUGAGCUGGGUUGAAAAGGCAGACACAAGAAGCUCAUAAAAGCGCAAGAUUUGAGAGGAAAAUGACGUCUGAAUUAUCUUCUUGAUGGGUCCAAUUUUCUUCUUUCUUUUAAUUGGUUUAUACUUGUAUAUAUCUAGCCAACCACCUUUGCGUUCAAUUUAAUUGCAUAGAAGAUUUUUUGUCCAACAUAGGGGUGUGGACGACGCGAGCGACUUGGUCAAAAAUUUUGCAAACUCGAUCUACUCAUUCUAUAUAACUAGUUGAAUUCGAGCAUCGGUAAUAAUUACUCGAGUACUCAACGAAUUUAAUCAAGUAUUUAUUUUAUUUAUAUAUUAUAUAUUUUAAUUAUGGAAUGAGUAUUAUGGAUCCGUAUUUUAAUAAAUUUACGUGAAGUAAUAUUUAGUAAAAAAAUGAUGAAUGAUAAAAUAAUAAUCUAAUAAAUCUAAAAUGUAAAAAAUUAAAAACAAGAGAAGAAAAAGUCGAGCUCGCGUAGCUCGAGUUUGAUAUGGCUUGUAGUUUACUCAAACUCAAACAAAUCGAGUUCGAUCUUAAUUUUUAUUAUGUCGAGUCGAGUUCGAGUUCGAGUUCAAAUACUCGUUCGAACUCGAGUUCAAGUUCAAAUAGCACUGAUAGUGAUUGAGUUCGAGCUCGAAUAUGGCUCAACUCGACUCGAUAGACUCCCGGUCCAACAUUGUCUCACCUUUCAUUAUAUUGUCAUUUAUCAUUCACAAACACCAGAUUUUAGAAUUUUUUUUUUGUUUCCUUAAAUUCUAAUAUCUAAUAAAAUGAUAAAAAAAAUUAAAAUAACACUAUAUAAUAGAAAACAAAAAAAAUAAAAUAGAAAUUUCACGAAAAAUCAUAAAAAUUUCAUCUCACUUUACUCUUUAAAAUUUGAGCAUCACUAUGGCCUCCAGAAACAAGCAUGAUUGUGGUCCGAGGAGCCAAUUGUGGUGCUCUGACACAGUUCGAUGCUCGGUGCUUUGUCUUAUGAUAUGUCACGCUUCUACUACCAUAGCCCUAAAUUGAAGAAGAAGGAGAAGCUCGGAAGAGCUGAGAGAGAGAGAAGAUUGAGGAGAAGUACAGAGAGUAGAGGAACUAGAGAGAGAAAGUAAGGGAAGAGGAAAAUGCAAUUGAUAUUCUCUUAUACCUCUUUUGCCAAUCAUACUGGUACAAAUAGGAUAACUAACUACCGCCACCCAAUUUCUGUUACAUCCCACGUGCUUAUUCCUAACUAACUCAACCAUUCAUACGACACCGUUCUACUUAUCCCCUCUUAUUACUAACAUUUCUCAAAACAACAGUGUUGCAUUACAAUUAUUCCUCAAAUAUCACCGUUACAAUCAUUGCUAAUUUGGCUUAGUUCUUCUGUCCUGACAUUACCUCCUGCACAAAGAAAAGUCUUGUCCUCAAGACUGAAAAUGAGGAAAUUGAGAUUGUAUGAAUUCCUUGUCUUCCCACGACACUUCCUCAGUUCCCAGUUGACAUCAUUUGAUUAAGAACUGGAUAACUGGCUGUCCAUUGCGCAUAAUGGCUCUCCUUUGCAACACAGUCUCUGGUUGCAAGGGACACUGAUCUAUACUGUCAAAUUCUGGCAAUGCUUCAGACACUUGUUGCACUGGCCCAAUCUUCUUCUUCAACAGGGAAACAUGGAACACAGGGUAAAUUCUGGCCCCUACAAGUAACCUGAGACGGUAUGCCACUGCUCCUAUUUUGGCUUCAACCUGGAAAGGUCCGUAGAACCUGGCAGCAAGUUUAAGGCAUUUCCUGAUAGCAACUGUCUGCUGCCUAUAGGGUUGUAGUUUGAGGAAGACCCAGUCUCCUACCUCAAAAGAUCGUUCAGUGCGCUGCUGAUCAGCAAAGAACUUCAUUCUCUGUUGUGCCUUAGUUAAGUGAUCUCUGAGACUACUAGAAAUUCUCACUUUUUCCUGAAGGAGCUGAGCUGCUGCAGGUAUAAUAGUGUCUAAGUAGGGACCAAGUGGCAAGGGAACAGGUUUAUAGCCAUAUAAGGCCUCAAAUGGAGUCAGCUGCAAACUGGAGUGGUAAGAAGAAUUGUACCACCAUUCUGCCAUUACCAGCCACCUGCUCCAAUGAGUUGGAAAUUCUCUAGUCAUACACCUGAGAUAAGAUUCAACACACUAGUUCAAUCUUUCGCUUUGCCUGUCUGAUUGAGGGUGGUAAGCUGAGCUAUAAUGCAAGUUAGUUCCCACUAAUUUGAACAAUUCUUGCCAAAAUGUACUGGUGAAGAUACUAUCCCUAUCAGUGACAAUAGACUCUAGUAGCCCGUGCAGUCUAAAAAUGCUGUCUAGGAAGACUUGAGCCACUUGCUUGGCAGAAAAUGGAUGAGCUAGUGCUAUGAAGUGUCCCACCUUGGUCAGCCUGUCAAUAACCACUAUGAUGGUAUCAUAACCCUGAGAAUUUGUAAACUCUCUAUGAAAUCCAUUGUCACAUGUGUCCAUGCCAAACGAGGGACAGGCAAGGGUUGUAACAGGCCAGGCAGAUGUACAUGUUCAGAUUUAUAUCUUUGACAAACAUCACAGGCCUGUAUGAACUGAAUAACUUCCUGCUUCAUUGUUGGCCAAUAGAAGAGAGAUUUAAUCCUCUGCCAAUAUCCCCUUUGACCUGAGUUGCCACCCACAGCAGAAGAGUGUAAUGCCUGUAUAAUCCUGGCCCUCAGACCAGUAGUUGACCCCACAUAGAUUUUACCAUGGUACUUCAGCAAAUCAUUGUUAAACUCAUACCUUGGUUGCGAGUUAGGAUCCAGGAGCAACUAAGAGAUGAUAUCCUUGCAGCGAGCAUCUGAGGAGUAGCUUUCCUGCAGUUCCUGUAUCCAAUUUGGUUUAACUGUUGACAAUGCUAGACAUGACCCUAUAGUAGUGGGGUGAGGCUGCCCCCUUCGUGUAAUCUGGACAAGGCAUCUGCCACCUUAUUUUCCACCCCCUUUUGUAUUGAAUUUCAUAAUCUAGACCCAACAGUUUGGUGAACCACUUGUGUUGCAGUGCAGUUGUAAGUUUCUGAUCCAACAGAUAUUUUAGUGACUAAUGAUUAGUCUUGAUAAUAAAGUGAUACCCCACCAAGUAGUGUCUCCACUUAGUUACUGCCAUUACCAAAGCCAGCAAUUCCUUUUCAUAGGCUAAUAGUCCCAGAUUUUUUGGAGACAAUGCUUUGCUAAGGAAAGCUAUGGGAUGUACUUCUUACAUCAACACUGCCCCAAUUCCCCCUCCACUGGCAUCAGUCUCAAUGGUGAAUGGUUUCUGAAAGUCUGGUAGUUUAAGAACAAGUGCAGUGCACAUUAUGUUUUUCAGUGCAAGAAAGGCCUCUUGAGCCUCUGAACUCUAUGCGAAGCUGUCCUUUCUUAGUAAUUCAGUCAGGGGCUUGCAAAUGAUGCCACAAUGCUUGAUAAAGCUUCUAUAGUACCCUGUCAAUCCCAGGAAUCCCCUUAAUUCUUUCACUGUCCUUGGACUUGGCCAUUUUAAAAUACUAUCUAUUUUGGAACUGUCUAUUGACACCCCUUUUUCUGUUAUAAUGUGGCCAAGGUAAUCGACUGUUAACUGUGCAAAUGAGCACUUGGAACGUUUUGCAAACAGAUUAUGUUCCUUCAAAAUUGAUAAAACUGUUCUCAGAUGUUGCUAGUGUAGCUCUAAUGUAGGACUAUAGAUCAAUAUAUCAUAAAAAAAAUUAAAACAAAUUUUCUCAGGUAAGGCUGAAAUAUCUGAUUCAUGAGAGCCUGAAAUGUGGUUGGGGCGUUUGUCAGCCCAAAAGGCAUUACUAGAAACUCAUAAUGACUACAAGGUGUUUGGAAAGCAGUUUUGUAUGUAUCUUUAGGCUUGACCCUGAUCUGGUGGUAGCUUGUAGUAAGGUCCAACUUUGAUUUAUAUUUGCAUUCUGCUAGCUCAUUGAUUAGUUCAUCUACAUUGGGUAUGGUGGUACCUGUCCUUGAUGGUCAUCUCAUUCAGUCUUCUGUACUCUAUACAAAAACACCAGGUCCCUUCCUUCUUCUUAACAAGUAGAACUGGAGAAGCAAAGGGACUGUUACUGUUACUGUGAGUUAUGAUUCCAUGCUGCAACAUCUCCUUAACCUGUUGUUCAAUUUCCCCCUUUUGAGAGUGAGAGUAUCUAUAAGGCUUCAUCUUGAAGGGCUGAGAUUCAGGUUUUAGUGGUAUCUCAUGGUCUAUACUCCUUACUGGUGGUAACUCAAUGGGUGCUGCAAACGCAUCUGUGAAUUCUUCAAUAAUACCCUGGACUCCUGCAAAAAUGUCAUUUCCCUGCACCUGAUCACCCUAUCCUACUCUCAUGGACAUGCACAACUGUCUCUUGUAUUCAAUGAAUGUCCCCAGGUCACCUCUCCUGAUUAAAUCUAAGUCACAAUCUUCAACCUGACCAUGCAAGUGUACUGCUUCUUAUUGAUAUUGCAAAGAGAUAGUCAGCUUGUGGAAAUCAAAAGCGAUAGGGUUGAACUGAGUCAUCCAGUCCACCUCCAAUACUAUGUCCCAUCCAUGUAGAUCCAUUACUUUGAGGUCAUAGCAGAACCUAUGUUGAUUAAUCCCGCAUACCACCUUAGGACAUAUUGCCUUACUGGUUACACAGGCUCCAUUCCCCAUAACCACAGAAAAAGGAUUUACUAAUUUAGGAGGAAUGUCAAAGGCGAUUACCUUCUCACUGCUAAUGUAGCUAUCAAAGCUGCCUGUGUCCACCAGGAUCAGCAUUUCUUCCCCAUCCAGUCUUCCUACUAAUGUAGGGACAUCUCCAUGAAAUGCCCUGGAUUUCCUGUGGUUUCAUCUUGCUCCCCCAGUGUAUCUUCAAAUUUAGUGUCCUCUUCCUCAUCAUUGAUCAGGAAGUUCAGGUGGCUGAGUUUGCACUGAUGUCCCUGCCCAAACUUCUCUCCACACUUGAAGCAUAGGCCAUUGUUCCUUUUAUAUUGUAUUUCCUGUGCUAAAAUUCUUCUUGGUUCUGCUUUAGUAGUUGAAACAGGUUUGCCUUUGAAGUGAGUAUUUCUGAAUAAACUAAUAGGGGGUACUUUGUAAUGUGUAUUGUGACUCAACUGCUGAGAUGAACUUUUUGAGAUCCCAAACCUAUUCUCUAAGUUAGUUCUUACGUUCUCCUUAGGGUUCCUGGACUGCAGGUUCAACGCAUUCUCCUGCAAAAUUGCCAAUUCAAAAGUUUCAAAUAGAGAUGUAGGCUUUAACAUUCUGAUCAUAGUCUUGAUUUCAUUACCUUCAGUCCACUGAUGAAGCUUGAUAUGAAAUAUUCUUCACUCAGAUGUGGAUUCUUCACUAUCAUGAGAACCUUGAGCUCUUCAAACUUUUCCUGAUACUCCUCAACCUUUCCUAUUUGGUGCAAUUUGUUGAAUUCCUCCACAACAUCUUUACUUGCCUUGUUAUCGAACCUCCUACACAAUAAUUCUUCAAACAUCAGCCAUGUGAUUUCAGGUUUCUCCACUUUAACUCCCUGGAACCACCUGUCCGCCUUCCCUUCCAGAUACAUCUCGAUCACUUCCACCUUCUGUUCCUCAGGAAUUUGGUAGUUUACACAAUACUUGUUGCAUUUUCGGAUCCAUUCCCUUGGAUUUUCCCCAGAGAAUAGAGGCAAGUCAAUUUUUGAUGGAUUUGGAAUCAGGACCUUGUUUGUCUCUCUUCUUCCAGUCCUGUUGCUUUCAAAUCCAACUUGCAGCCUCUAACUAGGUAGUGGUGUCGGCAGCAGUGGUGGUUGAUCACUCAUGGUUCUUCCAGGCUCAUAAUUCAGCUUCUCUUUUUCCAGUAUCAUAUUCAUGAAGGAGCUAAACUCUUGUUUCAUUCCUGUUACCAGACCUUCCAUUCUUUUGUUGUUCUCCUCUAAUUUUGCUCGCAACUCCUCGCGAAGCUGCUGUUGUUGGUGGUGCGAAGCCUGUAGACCUUCUAUCACCUUCUGGAGCUUGGAAUCUUGUUUCUUGAUCUGUUCUUCCAAAGUCUUGAACCUGGUACUCUCCGCCAUUGCUGCUCAAUUCCAAGGAUUCGACAAGCUCUGAUACCACUUGUCAGGCUUCUACUACCAUAGCCCUAAUUUGAAAAAGGAGGAGAAGCUCGGAAGAGCUGAGAGAGAGAGAAGAUUGAGGAGAAGUACAGAGAGUAGAGGAACUAGAGAGAGAAAGUAAGGAAAGAGGAAAAUACAAUUGUUAUUCUCUGAUACCUCUUUUGCCAAUCAUACUAGUACAAAUAGGAUAACUAACUACCGCCACCCAAUUUCUGUUACAUCCCAUGUGCCUAUUCCUAACUAACUCAGCUAUUCAUACGACACCGUUCUACUUAUCCCCUUUUAUUACUAACAUUUCUCAAAACGACAGUGUUGCAUUGCAAUUAUUCCUCACACGUCACCGUUACAAUCAUUGUUAAUUUGGCUUAGUUCUUCUGUCUUGACAUGAUGAUAGAACAAGGGGCCUAGCGCCUGCAGCCUGACGGUUGUUUAAAUGGUAUUGCCAGCAACAAAACACGGGAAAAAAUUUUUAAAAAAAAAAAAGAAGAUGUUGUCAUUUAAGUGUGAAAUUAAAGUGGUAAAAGGUGAUUACUGAUAUUAUAUUUAAUGCUUGAUGUGAUAACAAAUUUUGUAAUCCAUCACAAUAAUGCAAAGGAUAAAAUAGAUCUUACCCCCCGUGGCUUAGCAAUUUUUCACAUAACCCCUGUAUAGUUUCAAAAGUUAUAUAUAACCAUCUCAUAAUUUGGAUUAAAGUGUCAAAAUAAUAGAAAUGAUCAUUGUAACGGAAUCCAUAAAAUAUCGAAAUUAUCCUUAUUUAAAAACUAAAAUGCGUGAAGUGAUAAAAAUAUAUAAACAUAAUAUACAUGAUACUCUGACCCCAUAUGAUUUUAUAUUUUACCAUAUAACCCCAUUGUAAUUUAGUAUUUUACCAUAUAACCCCCUUAUAAUUCUUAAAAUAUAUACAUAACCCGCUUUAGUUAAUAAAUAAUUUCAACUUUACAUAGAAGUACUUUUGAUAUUUUACUUGAAUUCAUUAUGGAAUGCAAAUUCCGUCAUUUUGAUACUUUAAUCCAAGUUAUGAUGGAAUUAUGUAUAAUUUUUAAAAUCAUAGUGGGGUUAUAUAAAAAAGUGCUAAACCAUGGAGGGAUAAAGUGUAUUUUGCCCUAAUGCUAAUGAUAUAUUGGUGUGUUUAGAUUGAAAUGUUUUGAGAUAAAAUAAUUUGCUUCACAAAUUUCAAUCACCUUUUCAUCUCGCAUACAUCACAUCACAAAAAUUGUUACAGUAAUUAUCUCAAAUAAAUCACCCAAAUAAACUCAUAUCCAAUCAAAUAGUGUUGUUUGUUUGCAGCUUACGGGAUUAUUAUAUCAACAUUGGAAGCUGAAAACUAGAAUAUGAAAACUGAAGAUUGAAAUUUAAGUGCUAAAACAUUUAGGUUGCGUUUGGAUUGAGGGAUCUAAUCAAGGGUUUGAAAUCCUCUUGAAUCCCUCUAGUUAUUUAUAUUAUUUAUUAAGUAUUUGAAUUUGAAAAUUACAAAUUAUUCUAGUAUUUAAAAUAUAUUUUAAUAAUUGGUAUAUUGGAUAGUUAAAUGCCUAUUAAACAAUCCAAACAACUAAAGCCAUUUAGAUGGAUUUCAAAUUCCUCAAUUCAAACGAAUAUUGAAUUUACAAUGUCAUAUCUAUUAUAUCCAUCUGACAAUCAGCUAAACUUGAGCGCUGAAUUUAAGUAUUCUAUUCUAUGGAUAUUAUUUAGUUAAUAUUGAUAUUGUUAUUUUGUUUGUUAAAUUACUAUUUUAGAUUUUUUUUUAAUUCCUACUCUAUUCGAACACAGAAUAUGUGUAUGCAGGAGAGACAUGGGGAGUAUGCGUGAAGAAAAAAUGUGCUUGUGAAGAAGAGCUCCACUUGCAUAAAAAAUGCUACGAGCUUUUAAUUUUUUUUUUUUGUUUCUUAAAUGCCACGAAUUUGCGUGAAGUAGGUUUUCUUACACUAUAUAAAUCAAAUUACAAAUGGACCCAAAAAUAGAUGAUCUGAAUUGCGCAAUCCAAAACAUAUGAAUAUGGUAAUCCACGGCCUUUUUAAGGUUUUUGAAAGCAGCAUUUGGUUGAAGAUUUUUUUUUUUUUUUUGUAAUUUUUUUUCAGCAGGAAAGAGGUAGAAUUUUAGAAGUGAGGAUGGAACAUGAUAUUAAAACCCAAAACCUCUAGAAUCCUCAAUCCUCGAAAUAUAAUCCUGUCACAUAAACAUUUUAUAUAAAGCUUAAUGCAUAGUCUAUCAAUUUAAAUUCUAAUUUCUUAAUUUUGAUUUAGUGAAGUUUUCAAGUCAAGCACCCGAUACCACCAAUUGCCUCCAAUGAGAAAACCAAUCUACCGUAGCAUCCAUGCCCACAGCUCUGGUGCCAAGAACAUCACAAAAUUAAUCAACAAUAAAUUUUCAUUUAUGAAAAUUGACACAAGAAAUUAAACAAGAAAUUAUUCCUCAUCCAAGUAAAUCACAAAGCAACAUUAGUUUUCUAAGCUGUUGUUACAAAGGAGAUUAUAAUCUCUUUGACAACCUGACACAGGACCUUAAGUUUAGGAAGCUCAAAACCAUCAAUACCAUGAUAGCCUCCUUGUGCAAACUUAGCCACUAAAGGUACACCCUCGUCCUCCAACAUCUAUACAAGCUCAACUUGACGAUCAAACAAUGGAUCACCAUCAUAGCCAGUCACCAAAAUCUUCCGUCCCAAAUCUUUAAUAUGAUCGAAUUGUCCGGGUUUGAUGCUCAAUACUGGAUUGCAAAAUCCAUGAUCUCGGUCAGCGCCUACGGGCAAUGAAAGUUCCCACAUGAUGUCACUAACACAGGGUGGUACAAUCUUGUCAUUUACAGCCCUCAACUCCGAAUCCGUCCUCUUGUUGCCACCAAAGAAUGGUUGGUGCAAAAUCACGCCUUUAAUGUUCAAAGGCUGAAGAUCAUCAGCAGAAGAAGGUGCACUAAGACCAACAUGAUAGGCUAUGUUUCCUCCUGCACUAGUGCCCAUGAGGAAACUGUUUGAUAAAUCUGCAUACUUUGUCAACCACUCUCUUGAGAAUUCUUGAUCCAGUGCAAAGCUUGGAGGCAAUCUUCAAAACUUGAGAGUUUACAAUAUAAAGUAUUCAAAAUUAAGAGUUUAAGGUGCAAAGUUUUCAAAAUUUAAAUUUAGAAUACAAAGUGAGAAACUGGUUUAAGUUCAGGAAUGCAAUGCAGAAUUUGUCCCAUCAAAAAAAGUCUAACCUUUUGCUAAAAAAGGGAUAAUUUCAAAAACUUCCCCUGAGAUUUGUGGCAAUAUCACUUUAUACCCCUGAACUUUGAGUAGUUUUAAAAAUUUAAGAAUUUCGAACUUUCUAAUUUUUUUUUUUUGGACAGACUUGACUAUCAUAGACAGACACAACUUUCUAAAAUUAUAUUUACAAACUCAUUUGAGGUUUUUUUGAAAACAUAACACGAACUUUCUUUAUUUCAAUGUAUUUUUAGAUGAAUUCAGAAUUUUUUAAGUAUUCUAACUUUUUUUUCCAAAUUGAUGGCUUGAGAACAAGAGAAAAAUAAAUUAUUAACAAUACAUUUAGAAACGAAUUUGAGGUACUUUCAAGGCACAAAAUAUUAUUUUUUUCUAAUUAUAAUAAUUUUUUCUUUUGCAUUCCCUUGUCUAGACUGAUGACUUCAAAAAUUACAAAAGGUCUUUCAACCUAAUUAAUAUAUUGUAAUUCUUAAGGAUGAAAACUAAAGGUCCACAAAAAAGUGUAAUUUUGGAAUAUAAAUAUUUUAUCUCUCCCAAAAUGAGCUCUUAAAUCAUAGUAUCUUUUAAAAUGGGCUGAUAAAGUUAUAAAAAGUUGAAAAGUAAGGGACAUAUGUGAGAUUUCUUAAAGUUUAGAGGUGUCAAAUGACAUUGUCGUAAACCUCCGGAGAGGUUUUUGAAAUUAUCCCAUAUAUAUAUUUAUAUAUAUUUCAUGGGACGUAAUCCAUCACUUCCAUUUUCUUUUUUUCUUUUUUUGCUAUCUUGUGAGAAAGUAAUCAAAAUAAUGAUAAAAACGCUCUAAAAAGCAUUUUGCUAGCAAAUUUUCUUUUCAUGUAAACACGUGGGUUUAUUUAAUCUUCCAAAGCAACAAAAACAAUAGUUGCUUUUAUUAAUUCAAGAUAUAAAUGAUAGGAGAUUGAUGGAACCAUUUAAUACGUAUGAAAAAGUGUUAUUGGCUUGUGAGAAUAGCAAGCAUUUUGAAGACAUUUGUAAAACUAAAUCUUCAGUACAAAGAAUCGAUUUCAAUAAUUUUGUAGAAUAGACAUCGGAGGUCCCUUGAUUUAUAUAUUUCAUCUCCAUGGUUGGGUCAAUUUUGGGUUAUAUAAAUUAUAUCUAAGAUCUGAUUUUGUCUCUCUUUUUUUUUUCUGAUUUUGCCUCUUCACUUAUGUUACUCCCUGUAUAGCCAGCAAUAACGACAUCCUUCUCUACUACAACUAUCAAUCAUGCAAUUAUCAAUUUCUGAAAAAACGAAUUAUCUACUGUCAAUCAUGCAAUUAUUGGUCUUGGAAUUUUUAGUUUUUGACUCGACUACAACUAGAAACUUUCAAUACCGACUAAUACAUUUCUAUCCUACGAAUACUGGCAUAUAACAAUAGUUUUUUGGAUCGUUGCUCAAAUACUAUAAGAUUUUAUUAAUAAAAACAUCUAUCAUUUUCGAAAAAAAAAAAAAGAAUACUGGCAUAUAACACUAGUUGUGAAGAACCCCCCCCUCCCCCCCUCCCCAAAAAAAAAUUUUUUUGGGUAAGGGCACAAUAUUGUUAUAAUGCACUUUAAGAAUAUGUUGACAUCUUUUUCAUAUUUUUAGGCAUGGAUAAACUUGGAAGUCUUGCCACCUCUAUAUUUGACCAUCAGUAUAGUUGGUGGCUGUCAAACUAUCAAAAAUAAAAUUUAUAUUAAGACUUACUCUCAAAACUAAACGAGUAUAGUGCUGAGUAGGGUCGUUUUUCAGGGAACUGAUAGAUUUAUUACACACAGAGAAUUUGGGGGGUUUUAGAAAGGAAGACAAAAAGAACAAAUUAAAGAUAUAAGAGUACUAAAUUUCCAAUUGCAAGAAAGUGCAGUAGUUAAAGAAUAUAAUAAACAAUUAAUUGACACAACCUAGUCAAGGAAAUAAUUUCGGCACCGAUUCACGCAAUUGAUUAUAGAUGCCAAGAAUAAUUCACACGCUCGCAAAUAAAUUGGUUCUAGCAAUUUAGCAACCGUCAAACUACCAAUAUCUCCUUAAUUUUACGGUAGUCCAAAGACGCUCUUAAACUACUCCCUUGUAAAAUAGAUAACCCCAGAGACGCUCGAAAGAUUUAAUCUAUUCACAGUUUUAGGAAUUAGAAAGACCCAAUUCUAAUUAACAAACACACAUGCGGGUUCAUUUAAACUAGAUUAACUAUUCUUACGACAUAGAUUAGACUGCUUGCGAGGCAAUGAAAUUGUGCCAUUUGCCACUAAUUUAAGACAAUCAAGUGAUACGCACCCCUUGUCCUAAUUGGCAGUAUACUAUUCAGACAAUUGAAUAACUGGCCACAUUAAUCCAAUAAACCCAAACAAUAAUAGGCUAUUGAAACAAAGAAUAAUUAAAUACUCACGAAUGCCGAAUUUAGAAUAAUUAAAAAGACCUCACAAUUGUCUAUGCACCGGGUCUUGAUCAUUCCUCAACUAAAUAAAGGCGGCUAGCCUUGCCUCAUAACGAUGAUGCAAUUGACAGUUUUAAUGGAAUAGAAUUUAGUUCAUGAAAAAAGUAAGAAAAACGGUACAACCGCUGGUCCCUAGUUUUCGUUCAAAAGGAGAAGACAAUGCUCCAAAGACAAAAGAUACCUAAUCCUAGUCUAUUGUUGUCCUAUUUAUAGUUUCGCCGCCACCUUCACUUUUGCUAAACAAGUGUUUGUUUUUUUUUUUUUUGUAAGGAAUCCUUUUCCAUAUUUUUCUCCUUGCUUUGUUGCGAAAAGGUUUCUUGAAGAUGUCUCCUAAUCCCACGCAACUUCGAGUCCUACAGAGCAUGGAACUAGGUGUCCCAAGAGGAUGGAGCAGCGGAGAAGGAAGGACCUGCCUGACCAGCCUCCGAGGUGGACACAGUGGGGGGAACCCGGGGUUGGGGCACACCCUUUCCAGGAGGUGUGAACUGAUAGGCCUCCCCCACCUUGCGAAUGACGCCUAUCCGUUCCAAAUUGCACAGGUCCAAAGACUCAAGCUCGCGAGCCCUGGUGAGCUUAUGGUCCUUAUCCAGGUCAAACACUCCCAAGUGGACGGCCGAGUAUGUGAUGAGUGAGCCCAUAAUCAAGGGCUUAUGGCGCUUGCGGAGGACGGACUACAACUAAGAGACUACCGAACAACCAAAGUUGACCUAGACCUUAUUACGCAUGCACCAGAGGAAAUAAAAUUUAGCUUUGGCGAGAGUGCCAGAGGAAUCUUUUCGGCCGGAAAAGUUAUAGGCUAGAAACCUAUGAAUGACCUUCAGUACUGGAUCCUCAAGAUAGGAGGCCUUGGACUAACUCGGGUCGUAGAGUUGAGUAUUCGUGGACCACUUCCUCCAGAUCUCGAUAUAAUUGCUCGCAAGGGUUUGGUGAAGUCGCACGCCCUAUUGAUAUACGUGUCGGAGGAGAGAGUGUCCUCACUCACAAAGCCCAGGAUCAUGUUGAACUCAUUAAUAGAAUGUGCUUGUGGGUACCCCACAACCUAUAUUUGACCACCCCCGGUGUAUCUAAUGCCAGAAAAUCAGAUUUCUCAAAUUCGAAAGUGACAUAAAACUCAUAACAGAACUCCUCGUAUGAGGGGUAGUCAAUAACCAGAAACCGUUCCCACCCAAUGGCAGAGAACAACUGCUCCACUUUGCUAACAAUGUUCAACUGGUCCAGAGUCGGGGGAUGGAAACACUUGCAAGGGACAAAUGGAUGUACCACCAGGGAGCUCAAUCGCUCCUUCUGUUCAUGCGUGAGGUCAUUUAGAGGUUCUUCCCACACCUCAGGAAACAAAGUACUCCUACAUAGAUCCAAACGGAACCUAAUGGGGGGUUGAAUCGGGGCCCGCCUCUUAUGAGGCUUGGAACCUGAUGACUCAGAUAGAUUAGGUUUUUCCGGAGCCAUGUAAGGGCAAAGAUGUCAAUAACAAAGGCACAGAGCCGACAAGAAAACACCAAAUGGAGACAAGGGACCACAAAUAACAAUCCCCACAGUCAACAGUCAACAAACAAUUGAUGGAGGAGAAACAAAGAUACCCCACUGGCGUCACCAAGGCAAAUGAAGAUAAUAAAGGGCAGACACGGGACCCUCCGAAAUGCAGCCAAUAGUCAAAUGCACCCAAUCACAACCAACAAAUAUCCCAAGCCCAAUGAGAGGAUGAAAUUAAAUAGGAGAAACUCCAAAUUCUAGUCACCAGUUGGCAAAAAAGAGAGUAGAUAGGAGUACCACUGUGUAAAGCCGCGGAGAUCAGCCACGGCAAGCGAAUUCCAAGAAGGUUGGUACGGCGGUUGGAGAUGGCGACGGCAGAUGUCCGUGGGUCACGUGUGGGAAAAUGAGAAACACUGCUUGUGCAACGGCAGUGGGUUGCAUCGUGGGUGCGGAGGCGACGUGCAUGAGGGAGAGUGAGACAGGGCGAACCGCAGUGGCAGUGGUGUGCGGCGAUGUGCGUGGAGGCUGCAGUGGAACAGCGACGUUGGCAGCGGUGCACUGGGACGGCAGUAGAUGGUAGAGCGGUCGGCCGCAGCGGAUGCUAGCGACGGACGGCCGUGGGCGCAAGAGGGAGAGGGAGAGACGUACGGGAGCAAACGAACAGUGGCGGCGAUGGUCGAAUAUUGCAGCGAAAAGAGGAGAAGACCAGGGGCGACUAUAGGAAGAAAAGAAAGAAAAGACAAGAAAGGAAAGAGUAGAAAAGUAGGGUUCAAAGUGGGUCCAAUCACUAUUGACUUUUUUCGUUUUUAUAUGCCGCGAUGCUCAUUAAGGCAUGGGCACGCCUUGGAAGCCGAAGUCGUCGGCCUCCUUCAUUGUAACGGGGCCGAUGCAAUUCGCAGUGCGGUGUGAGCACGCCUUGAAAGUAUAAGUCCUCUGUUUAUCACUUUUUAAAAACGCCCAUUUGAAUUUAAUACAAGGUGUAGGCAAGCCCUGGAACGGAAAGUUUUCUGCCCCAGAAUUUUGCCUCUAAUCCAAAAUAAAACGGCACAGAACAUACCCAUGACCUAUAAUAGAGAUUUCUGUCAAUAGAACCCCAAAACAACCUGAAUUUGAACACUCAAAAACAUGAAGUAAAACACAAAAAAUGACAAAAAAAUUGAAACUCUUGGAUUACCUUCCAAGUAGUGCCUCUAUUUAACGUCUAUGGCCAAACCAAAAGUACUUUAACAAUUUAUGUUGAAACGGGGUCAAGCAAAUUAACCUCCUCCACAGUGCCAAUUUCUGAAACAUCAAUAAACGGCUUGAGACGACGACCAUUAACUUUAAAACAUUUGUUAGUCUCUAAACUGUUAAUUCAACUGCACCAUUGGAAAAAACGUGGACAACAACAUACGGUCCAAUUUAUCGGGACCGCAACUUUUCUCGCAUAAAUUUCAACCGAGAGUUGAAUAGAAGUACCUUUUGACCUAUAGAGAAUUGCUUAUUAUACAAUAGUUUAUCAUGGAUGAAUUUUGUGGGUUCUUGUAAAGUUGGGCAUUGUCGUAAGCCUCCAAACGGAUUUUUUCCAACUCUUGAAAUUGGAACUUCCUUUCCUUGCCAUCUCUAUCCGCGUUCAAAUUGUACUACUUAACUGUCCAAAACGCACGAUACUCAGGUGCAACAGGUAAAUUACACAUCUUACCAUAAACUAACCUGUAUGAAGACAUUUCGAUUGGCGUUUUAUACGCCGUGCGAUAUGCCCACAAUGCAUCAUCCUAUCGGGUACUCCAAUCCUUGCGAUUUAGGUUGACUGUUUUCUUCAAAAUAUUCUUAAUCUCGCGAUUAGAGAUUUCAACUUACCCGUUGGUUUGCGGGUAGUAGGUAGUACCCACUCGAUGGUGAACUCUAUACUUACGCAUCAGUGCUUCAAUGGUAUGAUUGCAGAAAUGAGUACUUUGAUCACUGAUGAUUGCGCUUGGCACACCAAACCUACUAAAAAUGUUGGACAUAAGAAAUCCUGCACCAACUCGUGAAUCAUUAGUUCGGGUAGCCUUUGUUUCUACCUAUUUCGACACAUAGUCUACGGGUAAAAUAAUAUAAAAACAACCAAAAAAACUGGAAAACAGUCCCAUGAAAUCCAUACCCUAGACAUCAAAGAUUUCACAGAAUAACAUAGGCACCUGAAGCAUUUCAUCCCAGUGAAAUAAACUCCCAAACUUUUGGCAUUUUUCAUAUCUUUUUUGCAAAACAAGAAAGCAUCACGAAACAGAAUUUGCCAAUAAAAAUUACAAUCAAAUAUUUUUCGAGCAGUUCUUUUAGAAUCAAAGUGACCACCAUAGAUAUAACUAUGACAAUGAGUAAGUAUAAAGGGAAUUUCUUCAUUGGAAACACAUCGAUAAAUGAUCUGGUCCGAAUCUAUUUUUCACAAAUAGGGCUUAUCCCAAAUGUAAUAUCGAAAGUUCUGUAUUAUUUUAUCCUUCUUAUUAUUAUUCAUACCAUUUUAAAAUUUGUGACUAACCAGAAAGUUGACAAUAUCAGCUUAUCAAGGUUCCUUACCUCUAAGUUGAAAUAAGUGUUCGUCUAGAAAUACCUCGGAUAUGGGCACUUCCUCUUCUUCUCGAAUUAUCGGCUCAAAUGGCUUGUCACUGAAUUAUCCACUCAUUUUCGAUCUUUGAUUUUCCAAUCAUAUUCUUGCAACAGGAGUAUCCAACAAAUGAGUCUUGGCUUGGACUUCUUCUUCGUCGAGAGGUAUUUCAAGGCUGUAUGAUCAGAGAAAAUUGUUACUUUCAAUCUCAACAAAUACGAUCGAAAUUUCUCAAAAGCGAAAACAAUCGUUAAGAGCUCCUCCUCCGUGGUGGUGUAGUUGUAUUGCGCUGGCGAUAGCAUUUUUGAUGCAUAAUAAAUGACAUGGCUACACUUCUCAUUUCUCUGACCGAGUACAACUCCCACAGCAUACUGACUGGCAUCAGACAUAAGCUCGAACGGCAGGCUCCAAUCCAGAGGUUGAAUGAUUGGUGUCGUGGUCAACAUGCUUUUUAGUUUAUCAAAGGACACUUUGCAAGCAUCUCCAAAAUCAAAUGGUGCCUUCUUUUGAAGUAGUCGAGACAAUGACUGUGCAAUUCAUGAGAAAUCCUUGAUAAAUCACCUGUAAAAACCUGUAUGCCCAAGAAAACUACGAAUCUCCUUGACAUUUGUGGGAUAAGGUAAGCUAGUAAUCAAAUCAACCUUUACUUUAUCAAUUUCAAUACCCCUAGACGAAACAACAUGGCCCAAAACUAUACCCUCCUUAACCAUAAAAUGACAUCGCUGCCAAACUUUGUUAAAUGAUGCAAGCAUUAAUCAAAAGAAUCACCAUAAAUAGUGAAAUCAUCCAUGAAUAUUUCUAUAUAAUUUUCAAUCAUGUCAGAAAACAAAACUCAUCAUGCAUCUUUGAAUAUUCUUGGAGCAUUACACAACCCGAAAGGCAAACGCCGAUAAGCAAAAGUGCCAAACGGGCAAAUGAAAGUGAUUUUGUGUUGGUCCUUUUGGGCAACAAUAAUUUGAUAGUACCUAGAGUAUCCAUCAAGAAAGCAAAAGAAAUACUUACCUGUCAAUCUCUCGGGCAUCUCAUCGAUAAACGGUAAUGAAAAAUGGUCUUUCCUUGUGGCAGCAUUCAACUUUUUGAAGUCUAUACACAUUCUCCACCUAUUUUGGAGUUCAUUGGUACCAACUCAUUCUUCUCAUUCCGCACAAGUGUAAUGCCGAUUUUUUUAGGGACAACAUGCACUGGACUUACCCACUCACUAUCGGAGAUAGAAAAAAUAAUUUCUAACUCCAAUAGCUUGAGAAUCUCCUUCAUUACCACCUCUUUCAUGGCUGGAUUAAGCUUCCUCUAACGUUCCCUUACCGAUUUUGCAUCUGACCCAAGUAGAAUAUGGUGCAUGCAAACGGAUGUAUUUAUACCUUUAAUAUCUGUCAACAUCCGUCUAAUUGCUAGUUUAAACUCCCGAAAAACUUGUAAGAGUUUUUCUUCUUGUACUACUGUCAGAUAACUUGUAAUGAUGACCGGCAGAGUGUCAUGAUCUCUCAAGUAAGCAUACUUUAAAUUCUUUGGUAAUUCUUUCAAUUCCAACUCCGGUGCCUGUUCAACAGAGGGCAAAAUUCUCUCAUUAGAAGUAAACAAUGGUAAAAAUGAGUCUACUGACCUGCCAAAAAUGUAGGAAGUGAAUGAAAUGACAUAAUUGUUUCUACAGUAUCCUCAUCAUCCAUGUUUUCUACUUCCUCAUUCGUCUUGCUCUGUUGUAACACGAAUUUCAACUUGUCCUUCAUAAAAUUCUGCUCAAAGUCAUCUUGCACAAUUGAAUUAGUGAGACAAACAUAAUUAACAGACUCAAUAUCAUCCGAAUAUUUCAUUGCAUAAAAAAUGUUUAAAAUAAUUGUCUCCUCGUCAAAUUUUACAGAAAGGGUACCUUCAUGCACAUCUAUCUUGGUUCUGGCCGUACUCAUGAAUGGUCUAUCCAGAAGAAGUACAGCUGAGUUAGCUAAGUUAGCUGAGUCAUCAUCAUUCAUGUCAACAAUGUAGAAGUCAGUGGGAAAGAUAAACUCGUUAACUUUCACUAGCAUGUCUUCCACUACACCCUCAGGGUAAACAUUUGACCUAUCGGUUAGUUAAAUUAUUACCCUUGUAUCUUUUAGAGGUCCUAAAUUUAAGAGCCUAAAUAUUGACAAAGGCAUGACGUUAAUAGAUACCUCGAGGUCAAACAUACCUUUUUCUAUCCUUUUCUGGCCUAUGAUGCAUGGUAUAGUGAACAUACCUGGAUCCCUGCAUUUUUGUGGCAAUUUCCUUUGAAGGACUGCUGACACAUUCUCACCGACCUUUAUUUUAUCUUGAACAUUCAACUUGUACCGGUUAGCGCACAACCCUUUAGAAACUUUACAUAUUUUGGUAAUUACCGAAUCGCAUCAAGCAAAAGAAUGUUGAUUUCCACUUUUCGAAAGGUGUCCAAAGUCUCCUGCUCUGACUCCUCUUUCUUGGCUAUAGCCAACCUAUCAGGAAAAUGUGGGUUAAUUUCAUCGAUUUUAGGAACAUCUGGCGGGGUGCUUACCUUUUCUUUCUCAAACUCCCCAUACACUUGUUCAUCUUCCCCUCUCGCUGCUUCCGAUUUUGAGGAUUGCACCUCCUUGCCAGUUCGUAGAAGUAUUGCAAUUGUAUUCUCCUUGGGAUUGGGAAUUACCUGAGAUAGUAGCUUUCCUUUACCAUUCUCAAAGCUGCUCAUUGAAGACGCCAGUUGUGACAUUUGCGUCUCCAAAUUUCGAAUGCUAGCGCGAGUCUCCUGUUGAAAUCUCUGCGAGUCUUGCUGCAUUUGACAAGUGGUAUUGGCUAGUGAUUUGAUCAUAUCUUCAAGGAACAUCCCCGAAUCAGACGCGGAUGGUUGCUGAACUGAUAGUCACUGCUAGAAUGGUUGUUGAAAAUCCGAGGGUCUUGGAGCAUAACUGAAAUUGGGGUACGUAGCUCCGCCACCCUGGGUUGUGUAUGGGUGCAUACGGGUCAUUUCUUCUUUAGGGAGGUCCAGGCAGACCUCCCAUGGGGCUGGCUUGCUCGUGAGGGUUUUCUUGAAGGGUCAGGCAUAUAUCGGUCGCAUGUUCAGGUGCAACACAUAUCCCACAUGCUUUAGCUACUUGUACUUGUCCUAUCGCUAUUUGACGAACCAACGUAGUAAGUUCCGUUAAUCUAUUUGCAAGGUCAGAAUGAUUUACUUUAUUUACUCUUCUAGUCACUCCCUCAGAUCUGACUCCAAACUGCUGAAAGUUCUCGGCCAUGUUCGAGAUCAGCCGUUUGGCUUCAUCUGUUGUCUUAUUUACUAAGGCACCACCACUCGCUGCAUCCACCAUGCUUCUAUCCAUAGUUAACAGUCCCUCGUAAAAAUACUGGAUCAACAACUGGUCAGGGAUCUAAUGGUGAGGGCAGUUGACACGCAGCUAUUUGAACCGCUUCCAGUAUUCAUAGAGAAUUUCUCCAUUGGCCUGCCUAACUCCACAUAUCUCCUUUCUGAUGUUGAUGGCCCUAGAGGUUGGAAAGAAUUUCUCAAGGAAUUGCCAUUUCAAUCCUUCCCAAGUAGUAAUGGACCCCGAUGACAAGUAAAACAACCAGUCCUUCGCCUUGUCGCUAAGGAGAAAUGAAAUGCACGCGGCUUGAUUUGUUCUUUCGUAACUCCCUGAAGUUUCAUGGUUGAACAUAUUACAUAGAAUUCCUUCAAGUACUUGUGUGGAUUCUCACCUACAAUACCACGAAAAGUAGGCAAUAAAUGAAUCAACCCAGAUUUUAAUUCAAAAGCCUUCUUAGUGUCAGGAUACGUGAUGCACAGAGGCUGUUGGUUAACAUUCGGGAUUGCCAGCUCCCUCAAAGUCCUUUAGACUGCCAUUGUUUCGUUGGGUCCAGGCAAGUUUGUUUCCAGUUCAACUGAUGAAUCACUUAAGUCCGAGGUUCGUUCAAGUCCAGAAGGUAUUGCGGCUGAAGCUUGUUGUUUUUGCCACUUAGUCUCCUUCGUCAACCUCUUUGCUGUUUUCUCGAUCUCUGGGUUAAAUUCAAGUCUUCCUGUACGGGAUGAUCGAGGCAUAAAAUAGAAGCUAAACAAGCCUACGCAAUAAAUCACUUCAAACAACAACUCCCCGGCAACGGCGCCAAAAUUUGGUGGCUGUCAAACUAUCAAAAAUAAAAUUUAUAUCAAGACCUACUCCCAAAACUAAACGAGUAUAGUAGUGAGUAGGGCCAUCUUCUUAGGGAACCGGUAGAUUUAUUACACACAGAGAAUUUGGGAGGUUUUAGAAAGGAAGACAAAAAGAUCAAAUUGAAGAUGUAAGAGUACUGAAUUUUCAAUGACAAGAAAGUGCAGUAGCUAAAGAAUAUAAUAAACAAUUAAUUAACACAACCUAGUCCAGGAAAUAAUUUCGGCACCGGUUCACGCAAUUGAUCAUAGAUACCAAGAAUAAUUCACAAGCUCGCAAAUAAAUUAGUUCUAGCAAUUUAGCAACUGCCAAACUACCAAUCUCUCUUUAAUUUUACGGUAGUCCAGAGACACUCUUAAACUACUCCCUUGUAAAAUAGAUAACCCCAGAGAUACUCGAAAGAUUUAAUCUAUUCACAACUUUAGGAAUUAGAAAGACCCAAUUCUAGUUAACAAACAUACAUGUGAGUUCAUUUAAACUAGAUUAACUAUUCCUACGACACAGAUUAGACUGCUUGCGAGGCAAUGAAAUUGUGCCAUUUGUCACUAAUUUAAAACAAUCAAGUGACACGCACCCCUUGUCCUAAUUGGCAGUAUACUAUUCAGACAAUAGAAUAACUAGCCACAUUAAUCUAAUAAACCCAAACAAUAAUAGACUAUUGAAACAAAGGAUAAUUAAAUACUCACGAAUGCCGAAUUUAGAACAAUUAAAAAGACCUCACAAUUGUCCAUGCACCGGGUCUUGAUUAUUCUUCAACUAGAUAAAGGCGGCUAGCCUUGCCUUAUAACGAUGAUGCAAUUGACAGUUUUAAUGGAAUUGAAUUUAGUUGAUGAAAAAAGUAAGAAAAACGGUACAACCACUGGUCCCUAGUUUUCGUUCAAAAGGAGAAGACAAAGCUCCAAAGACAAAAGAUACCUAAUCCUAGUAUAUUGCUGUCCUAUUUAUAGUUUCGCCACCGCCUCCACUUUUGUUAAACAAGUGCUUGUUUUUUUUUUUUGUAAGGAAUCCUUUUUCCUUAUUUUUCUCCUUACUUUGUUGCCAAAAGGUUUCCUGAAGAUGUCUCCUAAUCCCAUGCAACUUCGAAAUACACUUUCCAAUAAUAGUAGCAAGCUCCUAGGGAUAAGUCCCGCAGUCCGUCUCUUGGACGUCACUUUGCAAUCUCUGAUGUGGGCACACUCUGAAAUGAAUAGUCUUUUGGAAAUUGACCUCUUUUCAUCACUUUCGACAUCAAUUGCUUGCAACUGGCACAAACACCAAUUAUGAGCAGAAACCCAUUACUUCACAAAUAAGUGGCCAAAAUUGAGAGCAAAUACCAUCAAAUAAACUGCACAAUUAUCUCACUAUCAAUAGUAUUGUUAGAUUUUAUUUUUUUUUAAAUUUCUCUUAAUAAAAAAGUUUUAAUUUCUCUUAAUUGUAGAAUUAGUUUUAAGAGACACUACAAACUUCACAUAUAUAUAUAUAUAUAUAUAGAUAAUAACACGUAAAAAUCACCAAUUACCUUCAAUCAGAUCAGAAGAAGACCGAUACUGUGGCAUCCAUGGCAUAUAUGACAGUACUAAAUGAGUUUUUAUCGAGUUAAGCAUUAUUAAUUCUUAAACCAUUCUGAACCAGUAUGUGACAAGACUAGGUGCCAAGAACAUUACAUAAUUAAUCAACAUUAUUGAUUUCCAUUUAUGAAACUUGCAAGAAAUUGAGCAACAUGUUGAGAAGUACAAAGAUUUAACAUCAUUGUUCAUUUGGAUAAAUACUCAUCCUGGUAAAAACCUCUG